rnacentral:lncRNA from 1 species
GUGAGCGCACGCAACCGUGCAGUCAGAUUCCUCCGCCGACCGCGGCCCUCUCUCCUCGGGCUUUGCCUUCGCUCUCUAGCUUUUCUUCUUUCACUCCCGCUCGCCGACUCCAGCCCGCUGGGCUCACGCUCUGCCGGACACCAAUCCCGGCGGCCCUGCCCGACGGAGCUCAAGGCUAGGCCUGGCCUUGUCCGCGGAGUCCGCCCCUCGCCGCCACCGGGAUCCGCCCCCGCGCCGACACGCACUUCCGGCAGCGCCGCGGCCGGGAGGGACCGAGCGGGGAGCAAGGCCUGCGGGGAGGCGCAGGAUGGACGCGUUGGCUGUCAUGAUGUAGGACCUCCUGACCUAGAACCAUGCCCGGCGCAGGGAGAACAACGAGCUUACGGACCGGGUGCGGGGGCUGCUGUGCGAGAAAGCCUACCUGCUGGCCCGGGAGCGUUCGCCGGCCCACCUGGUGGCUUUCCCUGGACGUUUAACGGCGACUCCGCCCGGCCUCCCGACUUUUUGAUGCAGGCGUUCUCUUACAUGACUUUCUUCGAGGCUAGAUUCUCGAAAGACAUCCUGAAGGUGGCUUUCUUAAUUAGCUGCCUCACCGGCUGGCGGAGCAGUUCGUAGUCGCCUACAUCGAGAGGGAGAGCCCCGUCCUGGCUCAGUACUGGGGCUUCGUGGACGCGCUGUAGCGGGUCUUCGCCGUCGUGGGUAGGAAACAGUCGGGCCGGAUCCCCGGUGUCUGGGGAGCGGCUGCCGGCCGGGCCCGCGCGAGCCGCUUCACUCCUACAAGCCCGGCUCACUAGUUCCAAGCUGCUGGACUUUGACCCUCGCUGGGAAGCUUGAUCGCCGCCUGUUCUCGCCAAUCUCUAUGCCUUUGCACUGCCCAGCAACCCGGUCACUGCCCAGGACCUGUUAAAAGUUGAAUGGACCUCCCAGAAUCACGCCGCUGCCACCGCCGUUUCUAGAGACGGCUUUUGGCCACCUUUGAGAAUCAGGGUCAAACUUGGAAGGGCCUGCAUUUGUCACACUUCCUCGGACACUAAUUUGGAUAGUUCAGGCCCAGAGACGGCUUCCCGGGUUAGUGUGCCUGACAACACUGAAGAAAAAUUGUGACAUUUUCCUUCCCCAGAAUUACUUCGUUUUAUACAUUUCACUUCUCUUCUGAAAUCACAGCAAUGCCAGUUUGCGCCUUUUGGUCUGAGGAACGCAGGCCCUGGCCACUACCAGGAAAAAAACCUUCUGGAUUUCAGCUUUGGCAAGCUUCCUCUGUUUCUGAGACACCUCCAUCACCUGGGUUACAAUCCCAUCCAUGAUUUUCCCCAUCUCCAGGCAUUUUUCAUGGAAAGCUCCUCAUGCUUUUUAAUUCCAGUUUAUCCAUUUGUGUGGCUUUAACCUCCACAUCCAGGUCUUUCUGGCUAAACUGCAGUAUAUCCACAAUGGGGCCAAUGGACACAUAAGGGAGGCCCUAUCACAGGAACACGAACACCCGGAGUCGCUAGAAAUCAGAUUCCACCGGCUUUGCUUCAGGCCGACUUCCUAAGGAAGGCAUGGUAGCAUCACAGAUGCUGUUUGUCUCAGUUUCCUGAGAAGCCAGUUUCUUAGAGCUGUCAUUCAAGAGUGGGUCAAAUUUGAGAUAUAAAAACCUUUCUCAAGGUAGACUCUUUGGCCCCUAUGCCUAGUAUGUCAGCUGGGCCUCUGAAGCUCUCCUCUUUGAGGUCCUGGCAGGCUCUGGCCCCUGUUGAGAAGGGGAAGCAGUCAUGUGAACUCAUGUGCUGGAAGAAUCCACUCUACCCCUUCCCUGGCUUCUCUGCUGCAAUUUUUGUCUUUAAACGUAUUUUCAGAUCCUUUGCACAUGGCCUGCUAUCAACAAUCCUCUACAAUGAUUCUCAGCAUCACCUAGGGAGCUUAUGUAAAAUCUCAAAUUCCUGGGCCCUAUCCCCAGAGUUUCUUAUCAAGUAAGUCUGCAUUGGGAUCUGAGGAUUUGCAUCUCUAACAAAAAUUCCUAGGCGAUGCUCACACUGUUGGUGUAAGGUUUCCUUGAUGGAGAACUAUCAAAGCAGUCAAAGCUAUCAAAAUAAAAAAGAAUUCUGAUUGGGUGCAGUGGCUCACACCUGUCAUUCCAGCACUUUGAGAGGCCAAGGUGGGCAGAUCACAUGAGGCCAGGAGUUCAAGACCAGCCUGGCCAACAUGGCAGAAACCCCAUCUCUACUAAAAAUACCAAAAUUAGCCGGGCAUGGUGGAACACACCUGCAAUCCCAGCUACUCGGGAGGCUGAGGCAAGAGAAUCGCUUGAACCUGGGAGGCAGAAGUUGCAGUGAAACAAGUUGGUGCCAAUGCAUUCCAGCCUGGA